rnacentral:SRP_RNA from 1 species
GGCCGGGCAACCGCGCAAUCCAAGGCUUCCAAUUGUGUCAGGUCCGAAAGGAAGCAGCACCACGAUUCUGCGGAUGUGCCGCGGGACCCCGGCUCCC